CCCUUAGAUGUUCUGGGCCGCACGCGCGCUACACUGAUGCAUUCAACGAGUCUAAAACCUGCUCUGAUAGGGGUGGGUAAUCUUUUGAAUGUGCAUCGUGAUUGGGAUAGAUGAUUGCAAUUUUUCAUCUUCAACGAGGAAUGCCUAGUAAACGCAAGUCAUCAGCUUGCAUUGAUUACGUCCCUGUCCUUUGUACACACCGCCCGUCGCUCCUACCGAUUGAAUGAUCCGAUGAAUAUCAUGGAUUGAGGAUGCAAGUAGGUUAGCCUAUCUUCAUCUUCGAGAAGUGAAGUAAAUCUUAUCAUUUAGAGGAAGGAGAAGUCGUAACA
rnacentral:rRNA from 1 species